UCAAGGACUCAUUGGCACGUCUCUGAGCAUCAGUGUUAACUUCUGUCAUGGGCUGAAUUGUGCACCCUCCUCCUCCUUCUCCAACUUUAUAGGUUGACUUUCUAAUCCCCAGUACCUCAGGAUGUGACUCUUUUUGGAGAUGGAGCCUUUAAGGAGGUUAUUUAGGUAAAAUGAGGUCCUAUGAGGAGGCCCUAAUCCAAUAUGACUCGUGUCCUUAUGAGAAAAGAUUAGGACACAGAUAGGUAUAGAGGGAAGACCAUGUGAAGACAAAGAGAGAAGGUGGCCAUCUGGAAGCUAAGGAGAGGGGCUCUCAGAAGAAACAACCGCGCCGACACCUUGAUCUUGGACUUCCAGUCUCCACAAUGGUGAGGAAGUAAAUUUCUGUUAUUUAAGCCACUCAGUCAGUACUUUGUUUUGGCAGCCCCGGUGAACUAAAACAAACUCCUGCAGACAUGGCAGAAAGGGUUUGCAGAAGGGCCAAGAGAACGGUGGCUUAGAUGCUUCCAGUUUUCCCAGCUUCUUCAUGGACUCUCAAGCACAAAUCAUGAAAUACACCUGGUGAAACUCCUGAGUCACUGGAGGGCUUGAAGUUUCAGGAAGAGGAAGAGGAG
rnacentral:lncRNA from 1 species